rnacentral:tRNA from 1 species
GUGGGCGUAGCUCAGCGGUAGAGCGCCGGACUGUGGCUCCGGAAGUCGCGGGUUCGAACCCCGUCGCCCACCCCA